rnacentral:tRNA from 3 species
GCCGGAGUGGUGAAACUGGUAGACGCACGGGACUCAAAAUCCCGCGAGCCGCAAGCUCAUGUCGGUUCGAUUCCGACCUCCGGCACCA